AGUUUUCACCAACAAUCCCCCACAAAACUCAAAAAUUUUAAAAUUACAAAUUAAAACCAAAUUUACUGGGUGUUUUAUACUAUGCAAUGGGUGAGGUGUCUUUAAGAGACUUAACCCCACUUAGUGUAAGUGAUUUCCAUCAGAAGGAAUCGGAGUGAAUCAGGUCUUGAACUACGUUCCUUUGACCCUGACUUCAACCACCACACACACAGUACAGAAUUCUCCGUCGCGGGUCUGUGCGUUAAUGGUCAUGCACAGUACCUUGAUUUUUUCAUAAGAGUUUCUAUGGAUAGUCCAUAUCACAUAGCCGCGGCCACAUACGGAUACUCUUAUAUAGGUGGUUUCCUUCAGGGAUGUGUGUAGAGUCACAUCUCGCGAAAAUUAUCACCUUGGAUCUCAUUAAGAGCUCUCAGCUCAACCUAAUCCACUACACAGAGCACUACUCACCAUGAGGAUGGGAUUGGAGCUAAAGCUCCUUUAUAAAAUUUGUAAAAAGUGCUCUUGGCCAACCUGACUAUUUGUUUUUACCACAUUGAACUUUCUUCAAGGGAUCUCCUAUCAUAAAGGUUGGGUUCCCACUGCUCGUACCAAAUGCUUGAUGCUUUUACAAACACCAUAGCCGGGCUCCAUAUAUAUAUAUAUAUAUAUAAUUAAGUGAAUCCAACUGAGGAUAGGGACUUUCAUCCUAUCAAAUCAUUUUUGAUGAUAGAGAUCCCAAAUUGAUGAUCGGAACUGUUGAAGUUGAUUUACUUGAAUUAUUUAUAAACUAAAGUUUAUACAUUUUAAAAUUUAUUUACAUGGUGAUCAAAAGAUUGCAAAAUUGACAGUUUUUGACGGCCUAUAUGAACCGUUUGCUUGUUUAACGGUGUAGAGUAAUCAAUAUUUGUUGAAUUUUUGAUAAAAAAUUCUUUAUACUAUUUAGAUAAUGUUUAAUAACUCCGAUUGUAAAUUGAGAAAGUCUAACCUUUGUUUAAAGAUCAUUUAUUUUUGACUGUUUAUUUUUUUACUCUUCGAUAAUUUGAUAAUAUUUUUUAAAAAUUAUAAAAUUUGGUUUCUAAAUAUUUCUAAUUGUGUAGAUUAAUUUCAAUAAUGCCGAUUAUUAAUUUGAAAUUUUGAUCAUCAAAAUGACUCAAUAGGACAAAGAGUUCUAUCUUCUUAAGAGAAUAGUAGCCGAACUCUAAUUAAGUCCUAAUCAUAAUCCCAAUUAUUUUCUUUUUCAGCUAAAAAGGAAAACCAUCAUCAACCCUGGCUUUAAAUGUAAAAACUUUGGAACAGCUUUGUCAACUUUUAACUUUUUGUUGUUUAAAGCUCUCUAGGGAGUCAAAUAGUUUAGUCAAAUAAAUUAAAAAGGAAAAACUUUAAAAAACCCCGCACAUGAUUUCACACUUUUUUAUUUUAGGACUCUAUGGUUUGAAGUGUAUCAAGUUAGUACCCUAUGGUUUUUCAUUUUAUCACUUUAGUACUCUGUGGUUUAAAGUGUAUCAAGUUAGUACUCUGUGGUUUUAUUUUUGUAUCAAAUUAGUACUAUGUGAUUUUAUUUUUAUAUCAAGUUAGUAUCUUGUGGCUUUUGAACCACAUAGUACUAAAGUGAUAAAGUGCGAAAUCACAGGGUACUCAAGUGAUAAAGUACGAAAUCACAAGGUACUAACUUGAUACACUUUAAACCACAUGGUACUAAAGUGAAAAAGUGUAAAACCACAGGAUACUAACUUGAUACACUUUAAGCCACAUGAUACUAAAGUGAGAAAAAGUUAAACCAUAAGGGGGGUAUUUGAAGUUUUCCAAAUUAAAAAUGUACCAAAUUUAUCAAUAAUUUU
rnacentral:lncRNA from 1 species